AGCUUUGUGCAGUGGCAGUAUCGUAGCCAAUGAGGUUUAUCUGAGAUGUGAUUAUUGCUAAUUGAAAACUUUUCCCAAUACCCCACCGUGAGGACUUGCAAUAUUAAAAGAAAG
rnacentral:snRNA from 1 species